rnacentral:rRNA from 1 species
UACGAAGGGGGCUAGCGUUGCUCGGAAUUACUGGGCGUAAAGGGCGCGUAGGCGGUUCUUUAAGUCAGGCGUGAAAUUCCUGGGCUUAACCUGGGGGCUGCGCUUGAGACUGUGGGACUUGAGGUCAGAAGAGGGUCGUGGAAUUCCCAGUGUAGAGGUGAAAUUCGUAGAUAUUGGGAAGAACACCGGUGGCGAAGGCGGCAUCCUGGACCAAUAUUGACGCUGAGGAGCGAAAGCCAGGGGAGCAAACGGG